CAGGCCUAACACAUGCAAGUCGAACGGACCCUUCGGGGUUAGUGGCGGACGGGUGAGUAACACGUGGGAACGUGCCCUUAGCUUCGGAACAACCCAGGGAAACUUGGGCUAAUACCGGAUAUGCCCUUCGGGGGAAAGAUUUAUCGGCUUUGGAGCGGCCCGCGUCUGAUUAGCUAGUUGGUGGGGUAAUGGCCUACCAAGGCGACGAUCAGUAGCUGGUCUGAGAGGAUGACCAGCCACAUUGGGACUGAGACACGGCCCAAACUCCUACGGGAGGCAGCAGUGGGGAAUCUUGCGCAAUGGGCGAAAGCCUGACGCAGCCAUGCCGCGUGGAUGAUGAAGGUCUUAGGAUUGUAAAAUCCUUUCAGCGGGGACGAUAAUGACGGUACCCGCAGAAGAAGCCCCGGCUAACUUCGUGCCAGCAGCCGCGGUAAU
rnacentral:rRNA from 1 species